GGGCAUAUUUUUGGGUGUUGAUGUGGGUAAAAAACAGUUAUUUCUGGUUAUUUUAUCAUUAUUUUUUCCCUGCUAGUUUUCCUGCUAUUGAUUUUUCUUCCUUGCACCCGUUCCAAUAAUAUUUUUGAGGGGGAGGCAGAUUUGGGGUGGCUUUCUAGUGUAAAAAAACAUUAAAUUACUGUUAUUUCGUGUUAGUUUUGUCUUUAUAUUAAUUUUUUCCUUGCUGGAGAUCCUAAUAUUGAUUUUUCUCAGCACAAAGGGUGGGGGGGUGGAGGGUGGGGGGAUAUGGGUCUUCUGGUAUAAGUAAAAAAUGGCUCUAUAUUGUUAUUUUUAGUGUUAGUUUAGUUUAGUUCCUGGUGAUUUUCUGUUUAUUGAUUUUUUGCUCUGCCCAUUAUUCAAUAUUAUUUUUCAAGGGAUUCUAGUGAGUAAAAAAUGGUCGGAUAUUGUUUUCCAUUGCUACUUUUAUCGAUAGGUUAGUUUUCUUCCUCACCAUAUUUUUCGAUUUUUUCUGAUUAUUGAUUUUUUGCUUUGCCGACAUUCAAUAGUUUUUUUGGGGGGGGUUUCUAGUGAGUAAAAAAUGGUUGGAUAUUGUUUUUCAUUGCCAUUUUUAUCGAUAGGUUAGUUUUCUACCUUACCAUAUUUUUUGAUUUUUUCUGAUUAUUGAUUUUUUGCUUUGCCGACAUUCAAUAGUUUUUUUUGGGGGGGUUUCUAGUGAGUAAAAAAUGGUUGGAUAUUGUUUUCCAUUCCUAUUUUUAUCGAUAGGUUAGUUUUCUUCCUUUCCAUAUUUUCCGAUUUUUUCUGAUUAUUGAUUUUUUGCUUUGCCGACAUUCAAUAGUUUUUUUUGGGGGGGUUUCUAGUGAGUAAAAAAUGGUUGGAUAUUGUUUUCCAUUGCUAUUUUUAUCCUUAGGUUAGUUUUCAUCCUUGCCAGAGUUUCCGUUUAUUGAUUUUUUGCUUUGCCGACAUUCGAUAGUUUUUUUUUGGGGGGGUUUCUAGUGAGUAAAAAAUCGUUGAAUGUUGUUUUGUGAUCAGUUUAUGCAUCACCUAUUUGGGGGGUUUAUAUCAUGGCAAAAAUGUGGGCCGUUGCUGGUACACGGUAAAGCCACAAAUUUGUCCCGUCACUGCUACCUGGUGAACUCUUCUUUUGUUUCUAAUUUUCUUCUUUUCUCUCCCCUGCUUCAUCGUAUUUCCUACUUUUUUCACCAUUUCCUUUCAUUCCUCUUUAUCUAUUUUUCCUUCUUACUCUCGUUAUCUCUUGCUUCGUUUUCCUUCUCCUUUUCUCUCUCCUUCAUUGUAUUUCCUAUUCUUUUUGUAAGUUAUUGUAUAUACCAUUGUUUUAUUCCUCGCCCGUUUGUUGCGAUGGUAUUACUGAAUAUUUAACUCCGUGCCCAUGCCCUUAACUUACCUGGGCAUGUUCAGGUAGCAAGUUAGAUCAUCGUUUACCCUUUUCACAUACCCUGUUUUUUCGUGUAACAUUGUUUAACGCAUAUUUUUCCAUCCCGUCAAUAACUUGCAGAAAAAAAUGUCAUUGCCCUAUCUCCUGCAACUGCCCUUCAUAUAUAAAUUUGUCCUUCAAUUAAUCUGGACAAAACUAAUCAUUCUCCGGUGAAGUAAUAUUUUCCUUCGUGUCAGUAAUCUUGCAAAAUAUCAGAAUAUCACUACGUACUUUUCCCUCCUCAUCUUUUUCCUUGAUGCCCUUUCACGGAUGUCCUUAACAGGAAUAAUACAACAUACACUACAAAAACUUGGCUCCUCAUUUACGAUCUAGAGUUAGUUAAGAAGCUCAAAUGGGAAGGAGCUGUUGAAUAAGGACAGAGGUAGUAAUAGCGAAAAUACAACAUACAAUACAGAAACUUGGCUCCUCACUAACGAUCUUGAGAGUUAGUUAAGAAGCUCAAAUGGGAAGGAGUUGUUGAAUAAGGACAGGGGUAGUAAUAAUAGUAGUAGUUGUAGUAGUUGUAGUUUUAGGAGAGUUAGGACAAAGGUACACUAGAUAAAACUUGCUUAAUGACCUAAAGAUGCUGGGUUUAAAAUGUGAGAGACUUACGAGAUUAAGAUGCAUUCCACUUAUUAAUUCUCCCUUUUUCUCCCUUACCCUGACUCCCCCUUCUCUCUCUCCUUCCUAUCUCCUUUCAUUGUCUCCCUCUUUCUCCUCCCUUCAUUCCUUCAUUCUUUUAUUUGGUUCUUUCUUCCUUUUUCUUCUUCUCAUCCUCCUCAUCCCCUCCGUUUAUCCUUCGUAUCUCCUUCCAAUCCUUUAUUACCUUCUUUUCCUCCCUUUCUCUCAACUUUUCUGUCUCCCUCUUUCUCUCCCUUUCUUCUUCCUUUAUCUCUUAAUUCUCCUUUAUCUUAAUUUUGCUUCUUCCUCCUUCUCUUCCUCUUUCUUUCCUUCUUUCUCUUCUCUCUCCUUCUCGUUUCCUCCAUUAUGUAAUCCAGAAAGA